rnacentral:rRNA from 1 species
AUUGAACGCUGGCGGCAGGCCUAACACAUGCAAGUCGAGCGAGCGGCGGACGGGUGAGUAAUGUCUGGGAAACUGCCUGCUGGAGGGGGAUAACUACUGGAAACGGUAGCUAAUACCGCAUACCAUCAGAUGUGCCCAGAUGGGAUUAGCUAGUGGGUGGGUUAACGGCGCACCUAGGCGACGAUCCCUAGCUGGUCUGAGAGGAUGACCAGCCACACGGGAACUGAGACACGGUCCAGACUCCUACGGAGGGAGGCAGUGGGGAAUAUUGGACAAUGGGGACAAGCCUGAUGCAGCCAUGCGGCGUGUGUGAAGAAGGCCUUCGGGUGGUAAAGCACUUUCAGCGGGGCGGCGGUACCCGCAGAGGAAGCACCGGCUAACUCCGUGCCAGCAGCCGCGGUAAUAC